UUCUUUCACAUUAAGUACUGUACUAGUAAAUAUGUGAAAUGACAAACUCACUUUGAAGGUUGUCUUUUACAACUGUGGAUUGCCAACAUGUAACAAAUUGUACUAAAGCUUCACAUCAUACAGUGAAAUAAUAUAUAGUGGAAACACGCCAAAUGUGUACACUCAUAUAGGAUUAGAGCAUGAGCUUAUCGAUCUAUUCUGCUGUAGAUAUUGACUAUUGUAAUAAUUUUGUGAAAACAACAGGUUUGCGAAUUUAAGCUAGUUUUCAGGAUGAAAUUGUCAAAUGUGAAACAGAAAUUUCCUACUACAAGGUAGUUAGUGUCUGUUUCUUCAUGUUAGCAACUUGUCCACAAUUAUUUCAGGGAGACACUACAGCUUGUAUUUGAUAUUCAAUUACUACUUAUAUGACAAUGGAUUUAGAAAGGUUUGUCAUCAAAGGUUUCUUAUUUUAAGAUUUAAAAAAAAAACAACCCAUUUUUGCAAACUUUAAUUGUCAUGUGUUUGGCUAUAUUUCCUAGCACUAGAUUGAUUGGUUGUUGUUUCCACAUCAGUGACAUCAUCAGUGACAAUAAACCAAUUAAGUUGUCAAUCUUCAGUGUUUGUAUGAAAUUUCAGUUAUACAAAUAUCAAUUUAAAAAGAAAUAUUUUCAUGAACAUCUAGGAGAUUGAUGAAACCACUUACCAGUGUGUAUCAUAAAAAUAUAUUGAGCCUGCCAAAGGCUGACUUAUAACAGCAUCAUCUAGACUCAUUCCGUUGAAUACUGGUAACUUCAAAGUACUAGAGUUAUCUUUCUUUGUGUAUAUGCCUAAUGCUAUUUAUUGUCUUUUUUGUUUCUUGCUCACCCAUUUCCCUGGUGCAGGUUUAGAAAAUAAACAAUUGGAGGUUCACUGGGGGGAAAAAACUCAAGCUGGCUAAACCCUAAAUAUAAUUUUCAAUGUGUAUCUAUUUCAAAUGAAAAUAAUAAUAUUCAAUUUAAAACAAUUUUACAAUACUAUUCAGGUAUAAUUUCAUAUUUGCCAAUUAUGGGUGUACUGUUUGUGAAUUGCUUGUUUACUUCCAAAGAUCAGAACAGGUUGUUUUUUUGUGUAUUCUAUAAACUACCUAUUCAAUAAGCCUAAAUUUCAUACAAUUAUUAUGGUGUUUACAAUUGUUGGAGAUUUCGUAUAGGAAAGCAGUACAAGAUUUUAAAGCAUGGUCUCAAUUUCAAUAUGUUGAUCCCUCCAUUGUCAGGUCUUUCAAGACAGAAUUUGCGGGACAUGUACAAUUAUAUAAGAUGUAAACAGUCUGUCACCCUUGAUAUCUCUGACGUCCUGUCUGAGGGUGACAUGUUUGGGUGUCUCAUAUGUGUUAUGUCCUGUCAAAGGGCGACACAUGUGUGAUGUCCUGUGCAGGUGACACAUGUGUGUUAUGUCCUGUGCAGGUGUCACAUGUAAGUGAUGUCCUGUCUGGGGGUCACAUGUGUGUUAUGUCCUGUGCAGGUGUCACAUGUAAGUGAUGUCCUGUCCAGGGGUCACAUGUGUGUUAUGUCCUGUGCAGGUGACACAUGUGUGUUAUGUCCUGUGUAGGUGUCACAUGUAAGUGAUGUCCUGUCCGGGGGUCACAUGUGUGUUAUGUUCUGCUGGGGUGACACACAUUUACGAUAUCCUGUCUGGGGUUCACACGUGCUGUGGAGGUGUGUCAUGUUAGAUAUAGGUACAAUACAUACCGUUGUUGUUGUUUUUAAUGUUAAAUGUGUAAAUUGUGAAAAUAUGUGAUAUUUUUUCCUUUGUUAUUAUAUAUCAAUUACAAAGUUAAUUAAUUUUCUGUAUGUAUGAUCAGAUCAAUAAACUGAUAUGGACACUAAA